UACAGAGGUCCCAAGCGUUGUUCGGAUUCACUGGGCGUAAAGGGUGCGUAGGUGGUGAGGUAAGUCGGAUGUGAAAGCUCCGAGCUCAACUCGGAAAUGGCAUUGGAAACUACCUUGCUAGAGGGUUUGAGGGGGGACUGGAAUACUUGGUGUAGCAGUGAAAUGCGUAGAUAUCAAGUGGAACACCAGUGGCGAAGGCGAGUCCCUGGAAAACUCCUGACACUGAGGCACGAAAGCGUGGGGAGCAAACAGG
rnacentral:rRNA from 1 species